rnacentral:rRNA from 1 species
CUACGUAGGUGGCAAGCGUUGUCCGGAUUUACUGGGUGUAAAGGGCGUGUAGGCGGAGAUGCAAGUCAGGAGUGAAAUCUAGGGGCUCAACCCCUAAACUGCUUUUGAAACUGUAUCCCUUGAGUAUCGGAGAGGCAGGCGGAACUCCUAGUGGUGCGGAGAAAUGCGUAGAUAUUAGGAGGAACACCAGUGGCGAAGGCGGCCUGCUGGACGACAACUGACGCUGAGGCGCGAAAGCGUGGGGAGCAAACAGGAUUAGAUACCAUGGUAGUCCACGCUGUAAACGAUGAAUACUAGGUGUGGGGGGACUGACCCCCUCCGUGCCGCAGUUAACACAAUAAGUAUUCCACCUGGGGAGUACGAUCGCAAGAUUGAAACUCAAAUGAAUUGGCGGGG